UAAGGAAUAUUGGACAAUGCCCGCAAGGGUGAUCCAGCCAUGCCGCGUGCAGGAAGACGGCCCUAUGGGUUGUAAACUGCUUUUGUACCGGAGAAAACCUCCCCUCGUGAGGGGAGCUGAUAGUAUGGUAAGAAUAAGCAUCGGCUAACUUCGUGCCAGCAGCCGCGGUAAGACGAAGGAUGCAAGCGUUAUCCGGAUUCAUUGGGUUUAAAGGGAGCGUAGGUGGUCUUAUAAGUCAGUGGUGAAAUCUCCGGGCUUAACUCGGAAAUUGCCAUUGAUACUGUAGGACUUGAGUACAGUUGCCGUUGGCGGAAUAUGACAUGUAGUGGUGAAAUACAUAGAGAUGUCAUAGAACACCGAUUGCGAAGGCAGCUAACGAAACUGUAACUGACACUGAGGCUCGAAAGUGCGGGGAUCAAACAGG
rnacentral:rRNA from 1 species